UGAGCGGCAUCUUGUGCUCUUCUUUUCUUCAUUCGAGAGGCAACGCAUAUCCGUAGGCAGCAUGUGCACUUUUCAUCUUCACGCGAGAAGCAACAUGUGCCCGUAGACAGCAUAUGCACUUCUCGUCCUCAUCUCAUAGGUUGAGGAUCCUUAUUAGUUUGCCCUCCGAAGGUUCUUUAGGGUCUUCCUCUGCUUCCUGCACGACUCAGACUCUGAUGGGGU
rnacentral:lncRNA from 1 species